GUGAAUGCUCCAUCCCUGGCAGUGUUCAAGGCCAGGCUGGUCAGAGCCUUGAGUGACAUGGUCUAGCGCAAGGCAUGCCUGCCCAUUGCAGCGGGGUUGGAACUAGAUGAGCUUAGGUUCCUUUCUAACCCUAAUCAUUCUAUGAU